rnacentral:sRNA from 1 species
AUAUAGCUCUACUAGUAGUAGCAGCAGCAGCUGCUGCUGCUUCUUGCGCUGCUGCUGCUGCUGCUGCUGUUGCGGCGGCGACUUCAACAGCAGCCGCUGCAGCAGCAGCUGCAGCAGCAGCUGCAGCAGCAGUUGCAGCAGCAGUUGCAGCAGCAGCUGCAGCAGCAGCUGCAGCAGCAGCUGCAGCAGCAGCUGCAGCAGCAGUUGCAGCAGCAGCUGCAGCAGCAGCUGCUGCUGCCUUGGAUGCAUUUCUUU